AGAGUUUGAUCCUGGCUCAGAUUGAACGCUGGCGGCAGGCCUAACACAUGCAAGUCGAGCGGAUGAGAAGAGCUUGCUCUUCGAUUCAGCGGCGGACGGGUGAGUAAUACCUAGGAAUCUGCCUGGUAGUGGGGGACAACGUUUCGAAAGGAACGCUAAUACCGCAUACGUCCUACGGGAGAAAGCAGGGGACCUUCGGGCCUUGCGCUAUCAGAUGAGCCUAGGUCGGAUUAGCUAGUUGGUGAGGUAAUGGCUCACCAAGGCUACGAUCCGUAACUGGUCUGAGAGGAUGAUCAGUCACACUGGAACUGAGACACGGUCCAGACUCCUACGGGAGGCAGCAGUGGGGAAUAUUGGACAAUGGGCGAAAGCCUGAUCCAGCCAUGCCGCGUGUGUGAAGAAGGUCUUCGGAUUGUAAAGCACUUUAAGUUGGGAGGAAGGGCAGUAAGCGAAUACCUUGCUGUUUUGACGUUACCGACAGAAUAAGCACCGGCUAACUCUGUGCCUGCAGCCGCGGUAAUACAGAGGGUGCAAGCGUUAAUCGGAAUUACUGGGCGUAAAGCGCGCGUAGGUGGUUCGUUAAGUUGGAUGUGAAAUCCCCGGGCUCAACCUGGGAACUGCAUCCAAAACUGGCGAGCUAGAGUAGGGCAGAGGGUGGUGGAAUUUCCUGUGUAGCGGUGAAAUGCGUAG
rnacentral:rRNA from 1 species